rnacentral:rRNA from 1 species
UACGGGGGGGGCAAGCGUUGUUCGGAAUUACUGGGCGUAAAGGGCUCGUAGGUGGCCAACUAAGUCAGACGUGAAAUCCCUCGGCUUAACCGGGGAACUGCGUCUGAUACUGGAUGGCUUGAGUUCGGGAGAGGGAUGCGGAAUUCCAGGUGUAGCGGUGAAAUGCGUAGAUAUCUGGAGGAACACCGGGUGGCGAAGGCGGCAUCCUGGACCGACACUGACACUGAGGAGCGAAAGCCAGGGGAGCAAACGGG